GGGAUGUGGGUCUGUGUGAACCUCCUGUAGUUCAACAAAGUGAAAUUCAAGGUCCUACACCCGGGUCAGGGCAAUCCCCAACACCGACAGGUUGGGCAGAGGAGUGAUGGAGAGCAGCCCUGGGAGAAGGACCUGGGGGGUGAUUGCUGAUGGAAAGCUCACCAUGAGCUGGCCAGAAAUCAACUGUGUCCUGGGCUGAGCCCCCAGCAUGGGCAGCAGAGGAGGGGAGGGGGGAUUCUGCCCCUCUGCCCUGCUCAGCCAAAGGCAAGUGAAUCUGCAGAGACAUCAGUAAAUUCAAUACUUCAAGAAUGGGAUAUACGCGCUGCUCCAGAAAUAGUGAGCUGUUCCCAGCUGCUGUGCUGUUCAAGGGCUGUUGUGACACUGUUCAUGUGUGCUGCAGUAGAAGAUGAGUUUGCUUUAGGGACUGGUUACAUGUGCUGAGAUACAUGACACAUUGGCUGGCACUGGUUUUGAUUUUAAAAUCAUAACAGAGAAACCACUAACAACCUUUAGCAAUGUCUCAACUAUUAAGGCUGCAUAAUAAGGAAUUAUACAAAAUUUGUAAACUACACAAAACCCCAGUAAAAUGUCAAAAUUUAUUACAGCUGUGGGAUGAGGAGGCAACUAGUUGAACUGAAGGCACUUAAAUUAACAUGUUUUAAUUAAGUUCAGAUAAACUAAUGUCUUAAAAGCAGAAAUCUAUGAAAAUGAUCCAAUAAACUAUCUG